rnacentral:lncRNA from 1 species
CCUGUUGGGUGCGAUUCGGGGGGACGUCGAAGAUCUGAAGACUCUCCGGUUCUCAUACCGCCGCCGCCUCCCGCUGGGUGCAUGAACUGCCUCCAGUAGAAUUAAAUCGUUGCGAAAUCAUCCAAACUGCAACGUCUAGUAGUAAGUACCUCACUAUCAUGUAUCAAUAACAGUGCGGCACCGUCGUUGCCAGGGGAUCACAGGCAUAGUCGAAGACCUCAUCCGAUCGUUGGCUUCCGAAAGCUCUCGCCAUUACCAGUUCUAUCACUCCAUCCUGAUCAAGUCAGGUUCAUCUCCCGGACGCUGUCAUUUAAAGCUCUUUGGUCGGUGCCGUCGCUUCGCUCUGCGUUCGCGUUCCAGAUGUUUGACGAAAUGACCACCAGCACGGAGGCGGCGUGCAGGAACACGGUCACGCCCUGCGACUGUGAGACUGCACCGGCGUCGUAAGGAGAUGAAAUGGUGUGGUUUUGAGCCCCGUUCCAUCACGUUCGUGACUGCUUUCUCCGCUCUAUGUGAUGAUGAUCACGUUUGCCAGAUCAAUCUUGGUCCAGAUUUGGUGUAAGAGCGUUCAGUAAGUGGGCAAAACAUUGGAAACAAGACAUCACCUUCUGAAGGAGGGAAUUCCAUGCACACUUCUAGGUAGGCAAAAACAACGAACAAAUCAACUUCGUAGGCGCAUUUGGUCGAGCGCCUUACGUCUCUAGUGGGUUGAAGGUUCAAAUCUACGUACUCGGCGUGGGUGGAGGAGGACGUAGAAGCCGAUGAGAGCUC